GAUGAACGCUGGCGGCGUGCCUAAUACAUGCCAGUCGAGCGAACAGACGAGGAGCUUGCUCCUCUGACGUUAGCGGCGGACGGGUGAGUAACACGUGGAUAACCUACCUAUAAGACUGGGAUAACUUCGGGAAGCCGGAGCUAAUACCGGAUAAUAUAUUGAACCGCAUGGUUCAAUAGUGAAAGACGGUUUUGCUGUCACUUAUAGAUGGAUCCGCGCCGCAUUAGCUAGUUGGUAAGGUAACGGCUUACCAAGGCAACGAUGCGUAGCCGACCUGAGAGGGUGAUCGGCCACACUGGAACUGAGACACGGUCCAGACUCCUACGGGAGGCAGCAGAAGGGAAUCUUCCGCAAUGGGCGAAAGCCUGACGGAGCAACGCCGCGUGAGUGAUGAAGGUCUUCGGAUCGUAAAACUCUGUUAUUAGGGAAGAACAAAUGUGUAAGUAACUAUGCACGUCUUGACGGUACCUAAUCAGAAAGCCACGGCUAACUACGUG
rnacentral:rRNA from 1 species